CUUGAGAUGUUUUCCCUGAAAAAUAUCAAUGAAAGGCAACAACUUGGGCUACAGGCACGAUCAUAGUGCUUAUGUGUCAAAAACUUUUAGUUUUUGAGCACUAUCAGAAAUCACAAAGAUUUCUGAAGCCAUCAAAUACAAUAGCGAUAGCAAGUAGUAAUGAAGAACCUUGGGUAAGUUUGGAGCGAAACCUAAAGUUAUGGUGAAUCUUGAUGAUCAUGCUACGACUG
rnacentral:sRNA from 12 species